CUGAGGGCCUUUCAAAAGUCUUUUCUUUCUGUAAAAGGAAAUGAGGCCAAAGUCAGCAACCAGAGUAGACUCAAAUUUAUAAAAGCUAUCUAGAUUCUACCUCAGGAAUGUGAAGGAAAUUUAGGUCUCCCUUAAGCAACGUCUUUUUAUCCAAUUUGCUUUAAAAAAAAAAAAAAAAGCUGUUUUGUGUUUGGGGUUACCAUCCCUUUUCUGUUAUUUUUGAAAAAUCUGCUGCUUUAAAAAUAAAAGCCUAGUAUAUGGAAUAUCAGAAGUGAUGACUGUUUUAAACAAAGAAGCCCUUUUCUCCAUCCUCUGUCGCAGGCCUCUGCACAUGGGCGUGAGACCAACCUGCUCUUUGGACCUCAGAAUGAGUGAGCACACUCGGGCGUGAUCAGCCUGCCCUUUAUCCCUCCGAGAUCGAGGUGUUCCUCCAUCCAGCCCAGGAGGCCAGCAAACCAUUGUGCAAUCUGUUCCACCCACACAGGCCCUAUGGGAUUGCUACACUGCCUUUUGCUUUUAUUAGAAGGGAAAAAUCAAUCCUCCUAAAUGUGACCUUGGCUGUUCCCAGUGAAGAUGGCGGCCCAAAUGUUGCAUUUGCUGGCUUCAAGAAGGGCUUGUGUUGCCAAAAUCAAGCAUAACUUGCCGGUUUGGAUUUCAGAAAGCCCAAGCUAUUGAGCUGUCUGUUGAGGGCAGGGGGUGAAGUGAAAGAUGAGCACCUUGGAAAAAGCAGAGGGGAAGAAGCUGUGAGAGUUAAGGAGAGAGAUUUUACUCCUCAAGCUUGAAAAAGGAAGAAGACUUGGGGAUGAGCGGUAGUGAGGCGAGAUGAACACCCUGUCUCAAAUGUUGUAAGAAUCAGUUGAAACUUGCUACACUACAGAGGGAGGGUAAGACUCAUAGGAGCCUGCAUCUUAGGUGUUCUUGGGGAGGCCAGGGUACCUCGAUGAGAAGCCCAGCUUGGUGCAAGCUUGGUUCUCUAUGUGCUCAAGGAACAAAUGUUCUCUCCAAAGGUAUUGGAUGAUCUAAGACCUCAAGGACCUUUAUGAUGGCCUGGGAUGUGUGGCAGAGGGGGACUCAUCGUAACAUUAAAGUUACCACUAACCCGGUGGGAUGUGGAGUAGAAUACAUUUGAUUUAAAGAAAUGAAAUGAGUCAGACAUUUCUUCCAUCUCAUGGAAUAAGAUCUUUUCAUCAGUAACUCACAGCUAGGACUUCCCUGGUGGUCCAGUGGUUACGCAUCAUCCUGCCAACACAAAGGACAAGGGUUUGAUACCUGGUCUGGGAAGAUUCCGCGUGCCCCAGGGCAACUAAGCCUGUGUAUCUCAACCACUGAGCCGAUGAGCCACAACUACUGAAGUCCAAGUGUUCUAGAGCCCCUGCUCUGCAACUAGAGAGUGGGCCCCGCUUGUUACCACAGAGGAAGCCCUCAUGCAGCAGCAAAGCCCUAGCACAAUCAAAGGGAAAUCAAUUUAAUUAAUUAAUUAAUUAAUUUAAAAAAUAUCUCACAGCCAGUAAAGGGACAAGACCAUUCUUUAUACAUUCC
ensembl:lncRNA